rnacentral:lncRNA from 1 species
AUUGGACUUUAAUCACAUACAGGAGGCUCUUGCAGGGUCUAGCAAGCUAUUAACAUAGCAGGGGAUAAGAAAAUCUUAAUUAAACAGAACUUGCAAUAAAGAAAGCCUAAAUAGUGCUCUUUUUACAGGAAGUGUUUAUGGAAGGCUGUGCAAGUCACAUGCAGGGAGGUGUGACUAGGGUUCAUAAACAAAGGGAUCUAACUCCUAAAUGGCAGAGGAUUGAGCAGCGAGGCUGCAGGGGCUUGUUCUAUACACCAAAACUGCUUCAUUAAGCUAAAGUUGUUCAGGUGACUAUAG